rnacentral:rRNA from 1 species
AGAGUUUGAUCAUGGCUCAGAGUGAACGCUGGCGGCAGGCCUAAUACAUGCAAGUCGAACGGCAGCACAGCAGAGCUUGCUCUGUGGGUGGCGAGUGGCGGACGGGUGAGGAAUACGUGGGAAUCUGCCCAGUCGUGGGGAUAACGUAGGAACUUACGCUAAUACCGCAUGCGCCCUUCGGGGGAAAGCCGGGGACCUUCGGGCCUGGCGCGAUUGGAUGAGCCCACGUCGGAUUAGCUAGUUGGCGGGUAAAGGCCCACCAAGGCGACGAUCCGUAGCUGGUCUGAGAGGAUGAUCAGCCACACUGGAACUGAGACACGGUCCAGACUCCUACGGGAGGCAGCAGUAGGGAAUAUUGGACAAUGGGCGCAAGCCUGAUCCAGCCAUGCCGCGUGAGUGAAGAAGGCCCUCGGGUUGUAAAGCUCUUUUGUCCGGAAAGAAAGGCGCCGGGUUAAUACCCUGGUGUCCUGACGGUACCGGAAGAAUAAGCACCGGCUAACUUCGUG